rnacentral:sRNA from 1 species
AUCUCGACUCACUACAACCUCCGCCUCCUGGGAUCAAGCGAUUCUUCUGCCUCAGCCUCCCGAAUAGCUGGGAUUACAGGCGAUAUGAGAAAACAUCCAGGAAAAGAGGAACGCAUUGUGAUUGCUUUGCUCCAGCGGAAAGAGGGCAUUUAGAGAAAGAAUCCCGGAGAGUUUCCUCCAUGUCUAAGCUCUACUGAUAAUCUUAAAGAAAAUUUUACAUAAGCAAUAUCCGAUGUGAAAAAAAAAAUAAAACAAGCAUGGCCAA